GAUGAACGCUAGCGGCAGGCUUAACACAUGCAAGUCGAGGGGCAGCGCGGGAUAGCAAUAUCCUGGCGGCGACCGGCGGAAGGGUGCGUAACGCGUGAGCGACAUGCCCGUUGCCCGGGGACAACCGGUGGAAACGCCGACUAAUCCCCGAUGGGAUAUUGUGCCGCAUGGCACGAUAUUGAAAGUUACGGCGGCGACGGAUUGGCUCGCGUCCGAUUAGCUUGUUGGCGGGGUAACGGCCCACCAAGGCUGCGAUCGGUAGGGGUUCUGAGAGGAAGGCCCCCCACAAUGGGACUGAGACACGGCCCAUACUCCUACGGGAGGCAGCAGUGAGGAAUAUUGGUCAAUGGGCGGAAGCCUGAACCAGCCAUGCCGCGUGCGGGAGGGAGGCCCUAUGGGCUGUGAACCGCUUUUGCCUGGGGGCAAUAAGGGCGUCGCGCACGUCCGAUGAGAGUACCAGGCGAAUAAGCAUCGGCUAACUCCGUG
rnacentral:rRNA from 1 species